UACGUAGGGGGCAAGCGUUGUUCGGAUUCAUUGGGCGUAAAGGGUGCGUAGGCGGCGCGGUAAGUCGGGGGUGAAAUCUCGGAGCUUAACUCCGAAACUGCAUUUGAUACUGCGGUGCUUGAGGACUGGAGAGGAGACUGGAAUUCAUGGUGUAGCAGUGAAAUGCGUAGAGAUCAUGAGGAAGACCAGUGGCGAAGGCGGGUCUCUGGACAGUUCCUGACACUGAGACACGAAGGCCAGGGGAGCAAACGGG
rnacentral:rRNA from 1 species